UACGUAGGUGGCGAGCGUUGUCCGGAUUUACUGGGCGUAAAGGAUGCGUAGGUGGAAAUUUAAGUGGGAUGUGAAAUCCCCGGGCUCAACCCGGGAACCGCAUUCCAAACUGGAUUUCUUGAGUACAGGAGAGGAAAGCGGAAUUCCUAGUGUAGAGGUGAAAUGCGUAGAUAUUAGGAGGAACACCAGUUGCGAAGGCGGCUUUCUGGACUGUAACUGACGCUGAGGCGCGAAAGCGUGGGGAGCAAACGGGAUUAGAUACCCCUGUAGUCCCUGAGCGGGCU
rnacentral:rRNA from 1 species